GACAGAGGCCUCAAGCGUUAGGCGGAAUCACUGGGCUUAAAGCGUGUGUAGGCGGAUCGUUAAGUGCCUUGUGAAAUCCCACGGCUUAACUGUGGAACGGCUGGGCAUACUGGCGGUCUUGAGCCAUCUAGGGGCGACUGGAACAAACGGUGGAGCGGUGAAAUGCGUAGAUAAUCGUUUGGAACGCCAAUGGUGAAAACAGGUCGCUGGGGAUGAGCUGACGCUGAGACACGAAAGCCAGGGGAGCAAACGGG
rnacentral:rRNA from 1 species